AUUGAACGCUGGCGGCAGGCUUAACACAUGCAAGUCGAGCGGAGAUGAGGUGCUUGCACCUUAUCUUAGCGGCGGACGGGUGAGUAAUGCUUAGGAAUCUGCCUAUUAGUGGGGGACAACAUUCCGAAAGGAAUGCUAAUACCGCAUACGCCCUACGGGGGAAAGCAGGGGAUCUUCGGACCUUGCGCUAAUAGAUGAGCCUAAGGCGGAUUAGCUAGUUGGUGGGGUAAAGGCCUACCAAGGCGACGAUCUGUAGCGGGUCUGAGAGGAUGGUCCGCCACACUGGGACUGGGACACGGCCCAGACUCCUACGGGAGGCAGCAGUGGGGAAUAUUGGACAAUGGGCGGAAGCCUGAUCCAGCCAUGCCGCGUGUGUGAAGAAGGCCUUUUGGUUGUAAAGCACUUUAAGCGAGGAGGAGGCUACCUGGAUUAAUACUCUAGGAUAGUGGACGUUACUCGCAGAAUAAGCACCAGCUAACUCUGUGCCAGCAGCCGCAGUAAUAC
rnacentral:rRNA from 1 species